AUUUCAGAAUGUGAGUGUCGCCCUUGGCUUUUCCCAAAUGCUUCUCAAAAUGUCACACAGAAAGAGACCAGGAAAAGCACACCCCAUGUAGUGAAGCGAGGAAACUAUCAAACCCAGUUCCUGUGAGUGUCUGCCUGUCUCAAGGGUCUGCCUUUAUGGAAUCUAAUAUGUGAACACCAUCGAGCUGUUAAGUACCUAAAAUUGAGAUGAACGUACUUCCAGAAAGGAAAAUCUACUAGAUUUGUCAGAAGAAAUGCUUCAUGCUAUGCCUAAAGAUGGACUGAGAAGGUCCCGGCUCUUUUCCCAUCUCCUCUUCCAUUAUUCUUUAGUGGUGAUUGGUUUAGGGAUGACCAGAUGUUGAAGCACUGACUCCCAGGAGGAUCCUACUUGCAGGUUGGGCCUUGAGAGGUAACAGUCAAGGGACUGGCGCCCUUGUGAUGAGAAGUGAUGACAGCUCAGGUCUUCUCUGUCUCCUAUCCACUUCAGGGGGCGGGCUGAGCAAGAACGCGGUCAUCAGCACACGGAAAGUUGACCAUGAACCUGGACCUGCUAGUGCCUUGAUUGGACUACUCAGCUAGAACUGUGUGAAGUAAAUGUGUGAGCCACUCAGUCUAUGGCGACGUGUUAUAACUUCCUGUAAGACUUAAGACAUAAUGUUGUUCAAUUUUGCCUUCCCCAAAGGUGACACUAACAUGCAGGCGGGGCAGGACCCAGGUGGUCUUUGAAAUACAGAGCUCGUGCUUCUCCUCCAUGCCUGUGGCCCAUGCACACAAUGAACUUCACUGAAACGACGUUUCCUUCUCUGUACAUUUUGUUUUUCAACCAAAACUCACUCUUCACCUUAUUCCUUCUCUACCUUCCCACAUCGUUUGAAAUUUCAAUAUUCAUCAAAGAAUUUCCUGUUCAGAAAUGUCUCCAGGUCUUUAAUUGAUAUUAAGUAUAAUUGCAUACUAUGAAUUUCUUGUCUUAGGUCCGCUCCGUACCUCUCUCAGCAUUCUAGGGCUAUCAAAUUUGUCUGAUAGGAGGCUAUUUUCAUACACUAUUA